rnacentral:rRNA from 1 species
UAGGGAAUAUUGGACAAUGGGGGCAACCCUGAUCCAGCCAUGCCGCGUGAGUGAAGAAGGCCCUCGGGUUGUAAAGCUCUUUUGUCCGGAAAGAAAAGCAUUCGGUGAAUACCCGGAUGUUCUGACGGUACCGGAAGAAUAAGCACCGGCUAACUUCGUGCCAGCAGCCGCGGUAAUACGAAGGGUGCAAGCGUUACUCGGAAUUACUGGGCGUAAAGCGUGCGUAGGUGGUUGUUUAAGUCUGAUGUGAAAGCCCUGGGCUCAACCUGGGAAUGGCAUUGGAAACUGGGCAGCUAGAGUGCGGUAGAGGGUAGUGGAAUUCCCGGGGUAGCAGUGAAAUGCGUAGAGAUCGGGAGGAACAUCUGUGGCGAAGGCGACUGCCUGGACCAGCACUGACACUGAGGCACGAAAGCGUGGGGAGCAAACA